AAGAAGACUAUUCCUGCUUUGCUGAACAGAAGAACGGCGUAAAGGAUGUUUAAGCAUUCAAUCUACCAAAUAAAGUUAAACCUCAACUGUGCUGUAAUACGCCCUAGUUGAUAUUAAAAUACGCAAUUUACGUGACUUUACCCAUGCUGAAGACACUAAAGCUAAGGCACAAACUGGGAUUAGAGACCCCACUAUGCUUAGCCGUAAACUAAGGUAAUUAAAUAACAAAAUUACUUGCCAGAGUUCUACUUGCCAGAGAACUACUAGCCACUGCUUAAAACUCAAAGGACUUGGCGGUGCCCUAGACCCUCCUAGAGGAGCCUCUUCUAUAAUCGAUAAACCCUGAUACACCUCACCCCUUCUUGCUUAUCAGUCUAUAUACCGCCAUCAUCAGCUCACACCAACAGGGUUCCAAAGUGAGCAAAAUCAUGAAACCAAAAAAACGUUAGAUCAAGGUGUAGCAUAUGAAGGGGGAAGCAAUGGGCUACAUUUUCUAUGUUAGAACACAAUGGAUUGUCUAUUGAAACAAAGACAUGAAGGAGGAUUUAGUAGUAAAUUAAGAAUAGAGAGCUUAAUUGAAAUAGGCAAUAAAUAAGGCAAUAAAUAAUGAAAUAAGGUGUGUACACACCGCCAGUCACCCUCCUCAAUAAAGUAACUUUAAAUACCUAUUAAGAAUACGCCAAAAAAGAGGAGAAAAGUCAUAACAUGGUAAGUGUACUGGAAAGUGCACUUGGACAAUCA
rnacentral:ncRNA from 1 species